UCUCCGUUGGUGAACCAGCGGGGGGAUCAUUACAGGAUCGAAAGACUCCUAUAACCCCUGUGAACUUACUACAAAUACGUUGCUUCGGCGGGUGCCCCGGGUCUCCCGGGGCGUUCAGCCCGCCGGCAGCCUUCAAAUUCUGUUUCUUUGCGUUGGCAUCUCGAGUAUACAAAAAUAAGUUAAAACUUUCAACAACGGAUCUCUUGGUUCUG
rnacentral:misc_RNA from 1 species